ensembl:misc_RNA 7SK 7SK RNA
GGAUUUAUCUGGCUGUGACAUCUGUCACCCCAUUGACCAUGAAAGUCUAUUUAUGAAGAUUUAUCUAGCAAGGUGAGUGUCCCUUUCCUCACUUACAUCUCCAUGUACAUUCCUUCUGAUGCCAUUUGAUAAGUCAAAGAGAAGAACCUUCCUGGUAAAGGAGGGGUGGUCUUCCAUUAAGGGUGUUUGAGUACAUGUGAUCCCUGAAGGGACCUCCAAACCGACUCUCAAGGUACAUUUGCAAUAAAAUGCAGGUUAAUUAAGCUUUCAUGACUGUAGACAUAGCCAUCUGUGUGGUGAUGCAUGUGGCAGUUUGCCUUUCUGG